rnacentral:rRNA from 1 species
GACGAACGCUGGCGGCGUGCUUAACACAUGCAAGUCGAACGAAAAGGCCCUGCUUUUGUGGGGUGCUCGAGUGGCGAACGGGUGAGUAGCACGUGAGUAACCUGCCCUUGACUUUGGGAUAACUUCAGGAAACUGGGGCUAAUACCGGAUAGGAGCUCCUGCUGCAUGGUGGGGGUUGGAAAGUUUCGGCGGUUGGGGAUGGACUCGCGGCUUAUCAGCUUGUUGGUGGGGUAGUGGCUUACCAAGGCUUUGACGGGUAGCCGGCCUGAGAGGGUGACCGGCCACAUUGGGACUGAGAUACGGCCCAGACUCCUACGGGAGGCAGCAGUGGGGAAUAUUGCACAAUGGGCGGAAGCCUGAUGCAGCAACGCCGCGUGCGGGAUGACGGCCUUCGGGUUGUAAACCGCUUUCGCCUGUGACGAAGCGUGAGUGACGGUAAUGGGUAAAGAAGCACCGGCUAACUACGUG